rnacentral:lncRNA from 7 species
CGAAGGGGAAGUGCUCACCUCAGGCAGCAGGGUCAGGGACGGUGGGUGUGGAAGGAUGUCGGUCGGCGAACGGCGAAGACGGGCGGAGCGACGCCUGCGGACUGCGCGAUGUAGGUGUUGCGACAUUUGCGCCACUGACAUGCAUGGCGACCGGAGGAAUGAAGUAGGGGAGGGAAGAGGAUGCACAUGCGCUUGGAUUUCUCGACAUCAUGGGCACUGGCAGUUUUAGCGAUGGAGAGGCGGCAUGAGCACGACAAGACGAGAAAGAGAUGGUUUGGGAAGAUGAACAUGGCUCUAGC